rnacentral:rRNA from 1 species
GACGAACGCUGGCGGCGUGCCUAAUACAUGCAAGUUGAGCGCUGAAGGUUGGUACUUGUACCCACUGGAUGAGCAGCGAACGGGUGAGUAACGCGUGGGGAAUCUGCCUUUGAGCGGGGGACAACAUUUGGAAACGAAUGCUAAUACCGCAUAAAAACUUUAAACACAAGUUUUAAGUUUGAAAGAUGCAAUUGCAUCACUCAAAGAUGAUCCCGCGUUGUAUUAGCUAGUUGGUGAGGUAAAGGCUCACCAAGGCGAUGAUACAUAGCCGACCUGAGAGGGUGAUCGGCCACAUUGGGACUUGGACACGGCCCAAACUCCUACGGGAGGCAGCAGUAGGGAAUCUUCGGCAAUGGACGAAAGUCUGACCGAGCAACGCCGCGUGAGUGAAGAAGGUUUUCGGAUCGUAAAACUCUGUUGGUAGAGAAGAACGUUGGUGAGAGUGGAAAGCUCAUCAAGUGACGGUAACUACCCAGAAAGGGACGGCUAACUACGUG